CAAAGUCUAAAAAAUGACCUGGCACAAAUGCAUCUUCAUCUCUAAAAAAUACGCUGGCACCCAGCCCAUUAAAAUAAUAUUAUUUUUUUUUUGCAAAAUAAUAAAAAAAUUAGUUUUAAUUUCUGAUAGAAUUUUUAACCAAUCUUGUCACGCCACGUGUCAUUAUCCGAAAGUACUAUUUUGUGGAUAGAUUUUCGAUAAGAUUUUCAACAAUCCCGACGCGCCACAUGUCACUAUCUGUUUAAAAUAAUUUAGCCAAUAUUUCGAUAAGUUUCCACGUAGCAAUUUUUUUCACGUAACAAUAUAUGAAAGCUUUGGUUGAAAGUGUUGAAAAUAUUGAAAUGUGGUGUAAGGUGAAAGAUGAUGGUUAGGUAUUUAUAGAAAAUAAUAAUCUUUUUUUUUUUCUGUAUUUUUAAACCAUUUUUAUUAAUUUUUAUUAAGUUAAUUAAUAUGGACCGUUGGAUAUGAAAAAGAUUCAAAUCCAACAGCCCAGAUUUGGACACGUGGCCAACUGUCAU
rnacentral:lncRNA from 1 species